rnacentral:rRNA from 1 species
UGGGGAAUUUUGCACAAUGGGGGAAACCCUGAUGCAGCGACGCCGCGUGAUUUAGAAGGCCUUCGGGUUGUAAACAUCUUUUUUACGGGAUGAAAAUGACAGUACCGUAAGAAUAAGGUCCUGCUAAAUACGUGCCAGCAGCCGCGGUAAUACGUAUGGACCGAGCGUUGUCCGGAAUCAUUGGGCGUAAAGGGUACGUAGGCGGCCUAAUAAGUUAGAAGUGAAAGAAUAUAGCUCAACUAUAUGAAGCUUUUAAAGCUGUUAGGCUUGAGAGAUGAAAGGGAAAGUGGAAUUCCUAGUGUAGCGGUGAAAUGCGCAGAUAUUAGGAAGAAUACCGGUGACGAAGGCGGCUUUCUGAUAAUCAUCUGACGCUAAGGUACGAAAGCGUGGGUAGCAAACAGG